rnacentral:lncRNA from 1 species
AUGGCUUGCCUUGGAUUUCAGCGGCACAAGGCUCAGCUGAACCUGGCUACCAGGACCUGGCCCUGCACUCUCCUGUUUUUUCUUCUCUUCAUCCCUGUCUUCUGCAAAGCAAUGCACGUGGCCCAGCCUGCUGUGGUACUGGCCAGCAGCCGAGGCAUCGCCAGCUUUGUGUCUAAAGAAAAGAAGCCCUCUUACAACAGGGGUCUAUGUGAAAAUGCCCCCAACAGAGCCAGAAUGUGAAAAGCAAUUUCAGCCUUAUUUUAUUCCCAUCAAUUGA